rnacentral:rRNA from 1 species
GAUGAACGCUAGCGGCAGGCUUAAUACAUGCAAGUCGAGGGGCAGCAGGGUGGUAGCAAUACCACUGCUGGCGACCGGCAAACGGGUGCGGAACACGUACGCAACUUACCCUGAACUGGGGCAUAGCCCGGGGAAACCCGGAUUAAUACCCCGUAACACUUGGGGGUGGCAUCACCCAUUGGUUAAAGCUCCGGUGGUUCAGGAUGAGCGUGCGGCUGAUUAGGUAGUUGGUUGGGGUAACGGCCCACCAAGCCAACGAUCAGUAAAUGGUGUGAGAGCACGACCAGUCACACGGGCACUGAGACACGGGCCCGACUCCUACGGGAGGCAGCAGUAAGGAAUAUUGGGCAAUGGAGGCAACUCUGACCCAGCCAUGCCGCGUGGAGGAUGAAGGCCCUCUGGGUUGUAAACUUCUUUUACCUGGGACGAAACCUUCCUUUUCUAAGGGAGUUGACGGUACCAGGGGAAUCAGCACCGGCUAACUCCGUGCCAGCAGCCGCAGUAAUAC